rnacentral:rRNA from 1 species
AUCGAACGCUGGCGGCAGGCCUAACACAUGCAAGUCGAGCGAGCGGCGGACGGGUGAGUAAUGUCUGGGACACUGCCUGAUGGAGGGGGAUAACUACUGGAAACGGUAGCUAAUACCGCAUACCAUCAGAUGUGCCCAGUUGGGAUUAGCUGGUAGGUGGGGUAACGGCCCAACUAGGCGACGAUCCCUAGCUGUGCUGAGAGGAUGACCAGCCACACUGGAACUGAGACACGGUCCAGACUCCUACGGGAGGCAGCAGUGGGGAAUAUUGCACAAUGGGCGCAAGCCUGAUGCAGCCAUGCCGCGUGUGUGAAGAAGGCCUUCGGGUUGUAAAGCACUUUCAGCGGGGAGGCGUUACCCGCAGAAGAAGCACCGGCUAACUCCGUGCCAGCCGCCGCGGUAAUAC